CGGGGUGUAGCUUAGUUGGUAAAGCGCAAGGCUGGGGGUCUUGAGACCCAGGGUUCGAGUCCCUGCACCCCGACCA
rnacentral:tRNA from 1 species